GACGAACGCUGGCGGCGUGCUUAACACAUGCAAGUCGAACGAAAAGAGGGAAAGAGCUUGCUCUUUCCGGAAUUGAGUGGCAAACGGGUGAGUAACACGUAAACAACCUGCCUUCAGGAUGGGGACAACAGACGGAAACGACUGCUAAUACCGAAUAAGUUCCAAGAGCCGCAUGGCCCAUGGAAGAAAAGGUGGCCUCUACCUGUAAGCUAUCGCCUGAAGAGGGGUUUGCGUCGGAUUAGCUGGUUGGAGGGGUAACGGCGCACCAAGGCGACGAUCAGUAGCAGGUCUGAGAGGAUGAACGGCCACACUGGAAGUGAGACACGGCCCAGACUCCUACGGGAGGCAGCAGUGGGGAAUCUUCAGCAAUGGGCGAAAGACUGACGGAGCAACGCCGCGUGAGUGAUGACGGCCUUCGGGUUGUAAAACUCUGUGAUCCGGGACGAAAAGGCAGAGUGCGAAGAACAAACUGCAUUGACGGUACCGGAAAAGCAAGCCACGGCUAACUACGUG
rnacentral:rRNA from 1 species